CUAUCUACAGGCUUAACACAUGCAAGUCGAGGGGCAGCAUGGUCUUAGCUUGCUAAGGCCGAUGGCGACCGGCGCACGGGUGAGUAACGCGUAUCCAACCUGCCUUACACUCUUGGACAGCCUUCUGAAAGGGAGAUUAAUACAAGAUGUCAUCAUGAGUAAGCAUUUUCACAUGAUUAAAGGUUUACCGGUGUAAGAUGGGGAUGCGUUCCAUUAGAUAGUAGGCGGGGUAACGGCCCACCUAGUCUUCGAUGGAUAGGGGUUCUGAGAGGAAGGUCCCCCACAUUGGAACUGAGACACGGUCCAAACUCCUACGGGAGGCAGCAGUGAGGAAUAUUGGUCAAUGGACGAGAGUCUGAACCAGCCAAGUAGCGUGAAGGAUGAAGGUUCUAUGGAUUGUAAACUUCUUUUAUACGGGAAUAAACGGAUCCACGUGUGGAUUUUUGCAUGUACCGUAUGAAUAAGGAUCGGCUAACUCCGUGCCAGCAGCCGCGGUAAUACGGAGGAUCCGAGCGUUAUCCGGAUUUAUUGGGUUUAAAGGGAGCGUAGAUGGGUUGUUAAGUCAGUUGUGAAAGUUUGCGGCUCAACCGUAAAAUUGCAAUUGAUACUGGCAGUCUUGAGUACAGUUGAGGUAGGCGGAAUUCGUGGUGUAGCGGUGAAAUGCUUAGAUAUCACGAAGAACUCCGAUUGCGAAGGCAGCUUACUAACCUGUAACUGACAUUGAUGCUCGAAAGUGUGGGUAUCAAACAGGAUUAGAUACCCUGGUAGUCCACACGGUAAACGAUGAAUACUCGCUGUAGGCGAUAUACAGUCUGCGGCCAAGCGAAAGCAUUAAGUAUUCCACCUGGGGAGUACGCCGGCAACGGUGAAACUCAAAGGAAUUGACGGGGGCCCGCACAAGCGGAGGAACAUGUGGUUUAAUUCGAUGAUACGCGAGGAACCUUACCCGGGCUUAAAUUGCAACCGAAUAUGGCGGAAACGCUAUAGCUAGCAAUAGCGGUUGUGAAGGUGCUGCAUGGUUGUCGUCAGCUCGUGCCGUGAGGUGUCGGCUUAAGUGCCAUAACGAGCGCAACCCUUGCCGAUAGUUACUAACAGGUCAUGCUGAGGACUCUGUCGGGACUGCCAUCGUAAGAUGUGAGGAAGGUGGGGAUGACGUCAAAUCAGCACGGCCCUUACGUCCGGGGCUACACACGUGUUACAAUGGGGGGUACAGAGGGCUGCUACCACGCAAGUGGAUGCCAAUCCCAAAAACCUCUCUCAGUUCGGAUUGAAGUCUGCAACCCGACUUCAUGAAGCUGGAUUCGCUAGUAAUCGCGCAUCAGCCACGGCGCGGUGAAUACGUUCCCGGGCCUUGUACACACCGCCCGUCAAGCCAUGGGAGCCGGGGGUACCUGAAGUGCGUAAACGCAAGGAGCGCCCUAGGGUAAAACUGGUGAC
rnacentral:rRNA from 1 species